rnacentral:rRNA from 1 species
AUUGAACGCUGGCGGCAGGCUUAACACAUGCAAGUCGAACGGUAACAUAAAGAAGCUUGCUUCUUUGAUGACGAGUGGCGGACGGGUGAGUAAUGCUUGGGAAUCUAGCUUAUGGAGGGGGAUAACUACGGGAAACUGUAGCUAAUACCGCGUAAUAUCGAAAGAUUAAAGUGUGGGACCUUCGGGCCACAUGCCAUAGGAUGAGCCCAAGUGGGAUUAGGUAGUUGGUGAGGUAAAGGCUCACCAAGCCGACGAUCUCUAGCUGGUCUGAGAGGAUGACCAGCCACACUGGGACUGAGACACGGCCCAGACUCCUACGGGAGGCAGCAGUGGGGAAUAUUGCGCAAUGGGGGCAACCCUGACGCAGCCAUGCCGCGUGAAUGAAGAAGGCCUUCGGGUUGUAAAGUUCUUUCGGUAGCGAGGAAGGCAUUUAGUUUAAUAGACUAGGUGAUUGACGUUAACUACAGAAGAAGCACCGG